GUAAGUAUGCCACUGGCUUUCUUGAUCAUGUGGGCAAACUACUGACUCAUAUUCAGCUGGCUGUCAACCAGAACCCCAAGGUCUUCCUCUGCCAGACAAUUUUCCAGCCACACUUCUCCAAGCCUGUAGCACUGCAUGGGAUUGUUGUGACCCAAGUGCAGCAGCUGGCACUUGGUCUUGUUGAAUGUCUUGUGAUUGAGCUUGUGUAUUUUCUAUUCAGAAGUGACUACAUUACUGACUCAAGCCUUAUCUGUAGGUCUUUGCUAUUUCAUUGGAAACAUUAUAUUCUGAGAGGAGCCCAUUAAAAUGAACAGUAUGUUUUAUGCUCAAAGUGGCACUAAACUUGCAAAUGAAAUUGUGGCAAAGUACAUAAAAAAGACAGGAAAAUUAAAUUAUAUGAAUUUAGUUGGUAAGAGGCCUUGAUGCUUUUUCCAAAAUAUAUUUCUAGCAUUCCAACUCCAAUAUUAAAUGUUCCAUUUAAAAUGUAAAUAGAAGUACUACCGUACUUUGACAAAAUGUCUCUAUUGAUUUUAUUUUUUCAUUGAAAAUCUGAAUUUUUGAUAUUUUAUUUAUGUGAUAUGUUUCACUAAUUAUAUCUGGUUGCUUAGUUUUUAUUUUUUUAUUUUUUUUUAUGGAAAAUGAUUUUCUAGUUCUCACAUUGAAAGAUGUAGGUUAACCUGUCAAAUUGAAGUGCACUUUACCACAUGUUUCUGAACUGCUCAACGUGACUUUUCUUUUUCUGGGCUUGCUUGGACUAGUGAGAUGCAAUCAAUAAGGCAGGUAAUAGCAUGUCAUCAAGAAUGCAGUCCACUGAGAGAGACCAAUUUCAAGGAAACUAGACAGCAGGAGUACUUUGAACUUUCAUUGAGCACUGCAGCAGGAAAAACUAACGCAACUUAAUUUUAAGCUGCCCCGAUAGAGUUUCUAUUGUCCAACUAACUGAUCUAUUUAAAUUUAUUUGGAGUAGUCCUCAUCAACUUUGAAGUUAGAUUCUCUGAUGGACAUACCUGGGUUUAGUCUAGAUGGCUUUCUUCCCAAUGUUUCAGUGAGUGAUGAAAAUUCUCCUAGCACUAUGGAUUGUAUUUUAGCACUUUGCUUAUUUACUGAACCAAUUCUAUUGAUUUUUUGUACUAUGCAUUUGGGCACUUGACACUGAUUACCAAAAUGCUUUAUAGAGAUAAUUUAUCCACUUCACAUAUAUUGAGUGGGAUUGUGGAGACCAGGGGAAGUCCUCAAUGACUGGACCAAGAUAAAUGUUGCAUCUUCCUUUGAAAAAGGCCAACAGUUCAACCUAGGGAACUUCAGGUUGGUCAGUCUGACUUUUGUUCCUAGGAAAACCAAGGAAUGAGUUGUCUUUGAGCAUAUUUUUUGGGUGCAUGAAGAAAAGAAAAUUGUCUAGAAAUGGACAUUAUGAAUUUGCCAAGAGUAAAUCCUGCCUACACAAUCUCAUUACCAUCUAUGUGUGAUAAAAUAACUGUACAGAGAGAUGAUGGGAGGACACUGGGUUCCAUUUACAUCAACUUUGGCAAGACUUUUAAACUGUUGCUGGAUUAAUCUUGUAUCCAAAGAAAUGGAUGGACAAAUAGAUGGAUUGAGUGGCUGGAAGGGUAGGCUCACAGAGUUGUAGUUAAUAGCCCAUAUUCUACCUGGAGGUUGAGACAGAUGGACCACAAUGAGGGGCUAUCCUGGGACAUAACCUGCUUGUCUUCUUUAUCAGUGCCAUGGAGGAGCUGAUGGCGGACACCUUCAUCUAUAUUGCAGACGAUUUCAGGGAAAACUCAGUGUGCUUGACAGCGGGGUGACCAUUCACAGAGGCACAGAGAAUUUGGAGGAAAGAGACAAUUUUUUAAAAAGUCAGCAAAUGCAAAGUCUUGCCCCUGGGAAGGAAGAACUUGUAUCAGUACAGGUUGGGAAUGCCUGACUAGGAAGCAGCUCUGUGAGUAGGGCACUAGGGGACCUUGGUGUGUAGUAAGCUGAGUGUGAUCCAGCAGAGGCCCUGGCAGUAUCAAGGGCUAUCAGCAUCCCAGACUGUAUUAACAGGAGCACAAUGUGCUGAUGGAGGAGAGGGAUUAUAGCCCUCUACUCACAUUCAUCGUGUCUAGACUAUAGCAGACUUGUUUCAGAUUUCCUAGUACAUGUAAAACAUCAAUAAAUAGGAAUAAGUUUAUUGGAGAUCAAAAAGAUAGUGAGGGCUGGAUCUCUUGCUCUGUGAGGAAAGGCUCAGGGAGCUAAACUUAGUAAGAGUGAGGAAGAAAGGGCUCUGAGGGGGGUGGGGGGCCUAAUAGCAUUCACUAGUGCCUGCAAGGAAAAUAUUAAGAGGACAGAGUGAGGCUCUUUACAGCAGCGCAAAAUAUAUUUAUCGACUGAAUGAGCAAGGUAGAGAAAUUUAAGGCUAUGUUUUUCUCAACUUCCCAGUCCAUAAAGUACACAUUAAAAUCUUCAUAUGGUCAAGACCUGUUAGUAUCAUGACUUAUAUUACUGAGACCUGAGUGGAUAGGAAGUGCUGUAAGUAAAUGACAGGCAGAAGAUGCUAGCUCUUCAGAGUUUCAUGGAUUCCUUGAAAUGGGAAAGGAUGAAAUGGAAUCCUCAAGUACUUACUUACUGGCUCAUCAUUACCCACAGUCAAGUGUCUUGAUUAUACUGUGCUCACAUCCUGUUUCAGGCCUUGUGCUGUUCACGUGAGGCCCUCUUGAACUCUUUGAAAGCUACAGUUUUGUCACUACUGUCUUAGGCAACAGGAAUUUUAUUAUUUGAGCUGCAUAUGAAGCCAAACUCUGUAAAGAUGUUUUGCAUGAGGACAUGCCAGUUCUGCUCAGGGAAGAUAAAUGAAUUUAUCUGUUUACUUUUUUUUUUUCAAAUACAUUGGUUUUGCAUGCUGUAGGCUCAAAAGUGCUGUGAAAGAUCAUGCCAUUCUAUUUUCAUUGAUUUCUGAAACUUUUUUCUUAAUCUGUAGUUAUCAUUUCCUUACAGAGUCAUCCUCCCUUUUCUUUCCUCUCAAAAACCCCACAAAAAUAUUUCUAUUCAUUUUUUUAAAUAUUACACGAACGGUAAACAUUUCAAGUCCAUAAGUUUUUUCUUUAUAAUCUGACAGCUCUUUAUUUUCAUUUAUCUUUACAUUAAUACAAAUCUAACUGCUGAAUUUAGUUCAAAAUGUCUUAGUGAUCAAAAGUGCUCUUGGCUUUAGACAAUGUCAGAAGAGAGGUCUUUCCACAGAGCUUGUGCUUGGCCAAAGUGUCAGGUGCAUUGAAUAAAAUAUGCUACUUUCUGUGAUAAACUUGUGUACAUGCUUCUAUUCCUUUUUGACACUUAUUGCAGUGAAAAUGUGAAUACCUCUCUAGAAAAAUAAUUUUACAUAAUUUUAUAUUUGAAAUUAUGGAAGUAUCUGUAAAAUAACUGCUAAAUUACUUCCUGUGGUUAAGAACUAAUGGAAUUUUCUUUAAAGCUGCACUGGGCUGUCAGAAGAGAAUCUAUGGAUAUGUUUUUGUUGUACCUUUUUACAUUUGUCUUCAGGGCCUUGGAAAGAUGACUGAUCUGAGCCACAUGAAUAUUUUGUCUGUGUUAGGACUGGGAAAGAUUGAAGACUGCCAGUGCAAGCUCCUCUUGCAGAGCUGGAUAUCAAUAGGACAGGACUUAAACACCUAGGGAAAAGGGCACUCUGCACAUCAGAAAUGGAAGCAGUGCUAAGAACUAUCUGGACCCAGAAGACUGUUUUCUUUAUUAAUUGGAUAUGACAUAGUAAAGCUUUGUUUCAUCUUUGCUUGGGGAUAUAGAAAAGUGAUAAAGUAUCACCCUUCAAAAUACUUUUUAUUUUAGAAGAUAUUUGCAAAGUUUGGUUCUUACCACAGGUAUUUUGAUGACUUAUAAAUUCCCAGAGAUCUUAAUUGUAUCAUUAAUAUAAAAGUGAUAAAAUCUGCAAAUGAAUGAAUGUCUAACCAAUUGAGUGAAGUAUUCAGUGUGUAAAAAGAAUCUAUGACACCGUUGAGCUGUAAGUGAAUAUAUAAAUUAAAUAGCUUCAGUUAUGAAAAGACUUGUGUAAGAAGUAAUUACUUCUUGCUUUCUAUAAGCUGACACACUUAGUAUUUCUUGGCCAUCACAGAUUUUUCAAGAAAUUAUUACGAAGAUGAGAAGGAUAGCAAACUGCUAGCAAGUUUUUUUUUGUUUAGUUAUAGCUCUUCUUUGGAUCACUUAAAAAGGAAAGCUAAUAUUUUAAUUGUAUUCUGCUCAGUAGGAAUGAUAACUGGGUUUAACAUGAACUCAGUUUAAAAUGGCAAUCAACACAGUAAGUUCUUCCACAAUGCAUGUGAAUUAUAAAACUUAUGUCAUCGAAGCAAGCCAUACAUUGCUUACUCUCUCAAUUGGCAUGAGAGGAGCCAAGAGAAAAUACUUUAGACAAUAGUCUGAAAGGGAUUCUCUAAAUAGAAAUGGCACAUAUUUAAUGUCUCCUUAAGGAAUUCAAGAUCAGAGUAGCAUCCCUUCAAAGGGAGUCCCCACAAUUCAGGGUAGAAGAGCUAUUCUUUGUUACCAUGAUUUAGUCCUUAAUUUAAGAUUUGUCUUACUUUUCUCCAGAAAAUAAUAAUAGUAAUGAUAUAUAUAUGAUAUAUAUUUACAAAACAAUGCAAUUGCUCACCACCUGUUGACCAGUGCCCAACCAGUCCCUGAGCAGUGGCUGCCCUCCAGCCAACUCCCCAUAUUUUUAGUUUUUUUCACAUCAUAUCAUACAGUACAAGAUAUCCCUUUGGCCAUUUUAGGUGAGCUGUACUGAUUCUGUCCACUCCAAGCUUCUUGUGCUCCUUCAGCCCCUUUGCUGGCACAACAGUACAAGAUGCUGAAAAACUGAAACAUCCUCAGCUCUGUGCAGCACUUCUCAGCAAGAAGUUGAAAUAGCCCUGGCUUUGCAAAGCUGCUGCUCAGCAACAGAUAAAACAUGAGUGUGUUAUCAACAUUGUUUUUCUCCUAAAGCCAAAACGCAGCCAGUGUCAUACCAGACACUGUGACAAAAAUCAACUUUGUCCCGGCCAAAACCAAGACAAGGCACUCUAACUAAGCUUUUUUUCAGACAUUGAACAAUGUGUAUAAAAAUAAUCUCCUAGCUUUCUUUGAUGGUUUCUUAAUAGUAAACCCAAUCUCAGUGCACAAGCUUGCUCCCUCAGCUCUCCCCAUCACAUGAGCUUCCUCUGCACCUCUGACUAACUCAGCUUUCUGCAGGGAGGAUUGGCUGAGUAGUCCCAUACACCUACUCCCAGGGUCCCAUCCAGACUUAAACCUGGCAAAAAAAUUUAAGUUCUCCAAGAACCAUACGGACACGUUGAAACUUGCCUGAAAAUGAGAUUGCUGCCUUAUGGCUUCAGUCAGAACAUUUUUUGAGGGGGUGUGGAUUGCAAGGGGUGGUGUGAACAAAGCCAAAACCAGACACAGAAACAAAAUGAAGAAUAAAAGUCAUGGUGUACUAAUCAGCAAUUCAUUCAGCUUCUUCGAACAUUGAGGAGAUAAGUAGAUCGUGUUGACUGAGAGAGAGAAAUAUAAUAAAUAAAACAAAUUUCCAGAGCAGCAAAUUUUUUUGUGUCUGAUUCAGACUUCAAAAGCCACAGAUUCCCUCUUUAAAAAACAAACAAAUAGAAAACUUUCCUGUUUAUUUCUCCCAAGGGCACUGGCAGUCCCCAAGGUUUCUUAAAACUAAAGAACUGGAAAACAAACUAGACUGCUCACUUAAUAGACCUUGUUCAUGCUGGAUUGUGACUUACUUCCCCAGCAAAAAAAUUGCCAUUCUUCUUGGAGAGUUUGGGUCAUGGCUCACUGUGAACUAGAACAGCAAAACAGAAAACUAGAUGGAACAUCUUUGGAAUCUCUUCCCACCCAUUCAAAUGCUAGUUAACAGAGAGAGAAUGCAAAAUUUAGUUUUUCUCCUGUAUGGUAACUGUUGAGUCACGACCUGAACCACUGAUUGAGCACCUGGGGAAAGGACCUGGUCAGCCCUGAGAGCACAGGUGAAGGCAAAGGCAAAGGAGUGGAGCUUGGCUGCUCUUCUCUUAGACCUCAUUUAACAGCUGACUGCCACUAAGGAAGGAUCUCUUUCUGGAGGUUCCUCCUUUGCGUUUUCUCCUGGGAACCUGGAUCUUUGGAGAUGGUUAUAGGCUUCCUGGUACACAAAAACCAAGGAUAUCCUGGGAAGAGUCCAGCAGAGGGCCACGAAGAUGAUAAAGGGCCUGGAGCAUCUCCCUUUGAGGAAAGGCUGAGCAAACUGGGCUGUUCAGCCUUGUGAUAAGAAGACUGAGAGGUGCCCCUUCCAUAAGAAGAUAUGAGCAAGAGGCUUGCAGGACAAUAACAACUACCAAAAUGGAAAUCUAUAAGCUACAUCAUAGCUGAAUUGUGCAACACGAAUCCAGUCUUGCAUAUUAUGGAGGAGAUAAAUGAGGGAAGUAGGAGGAAAGAAUCUAUCAUUGUCCUACAUGCAUCAUAAUUUUUUCAGCAGAACUAUUUUACUUCAUAAAAUGGUGCUUCUUCAGGUAAAAAAACAAACAAACAAACAUUUGUGGAAAUACACCAGUCUACAACAAGAAAUCUGCCAGGAUCCCCAGGAAGAAAAGAGCGUUUAGAGAGAUGAAUUUCAGAGGAGGAGAAUUAACAUCCCAGGAGUGAUGGUUUAUGUAUUGAAAUGCUUAGUGCUACACUGUGUACCAGCUGCAAGUGGCCUAAUGCCAGCCCUGGAUGUAGAGCAGCUUCAAGUGUGGCAUUUGCACUACUGGCUCAGGCACCUAUGCUUUCCAUGUACUGAACACAGAGAGCUGGGGAUGCUGAAGAGUUGGGAAAGUGCAUAAUUCAAGCCUCCAAAGAUACUGGGUGAAGCAUGUUCCUGAAGGAAUACAUUUCUACAAGACAUUUAUCUAGCUGAACUGUUUUGGAUUUCUUCCCCUAAUGUUAAAAUGCUCAAAAUGCUAUUUUGCCUAACCAAUUGCACCUCCAUGAGGAUUCAAGAAGAGUACAUGUACCUGCCUUGCUUGUGUUAGAUAAAAUCUAACACAAAAUCAAUUCCAGAUGACUAGUCAGAUCUUCACCAAAAUAAAAUUACAUCUACCAUGCCAAAGCUAAGUGAGGAAAGAGUGAGGUAGGUAAAAACCAACCAACCAACCACAAAAAAAAAUGAGAUACAUAAGAUCUCAGUAGUGUAAGGACUAUUCAUUUAAAUCUCUGCUCCAGUUGGUGGGAAGCUACGCUCCUGAGGAAGGUGAGAAGUUAAUGUUCCUGCAUGCUCAUGUAUGUCCCCUUGGGUUCCUUCAGCCCACUCCCCCAAGCUGCUGUUUCUCCCUCACACCUGAUGCAUGGUAAGGAGGAGGUAAUGCACAUAGGAAGGGUUUGGUGAACAGUGGCUAGUGCCUGUGUCACGGGGCAAAUACACUCCUCAGUCCUCCCCUGUCCACUCCAAUUAUUGGAGCAAUUGUUUUCACAUAUAUAAACCUGGAGGAAGACUUAGGCAGCAAAAGAGGCCAAAUGUUGUCCAAUUGAUUUAUUACAAGUUCUAAGCAGCUAAGGAACGCAGGGAAGAUGGGGAAGUUAGAGAUAGUAAAGAGAGAAAUCCUAGCAAAUGGUUUACAAAGCAGGGAUAGUCACCACCAGAGAUCCAGUGAAGUCUCAGUCUGUUGACCCACACAGCUGCAGUCUGUUAGAGGGUGUACUUGCUCUACUUCAGAACUUUUCUGUUUUUUAUCCUUUUCAUAGUGUCACUUUGGUUGCCAGGGGCACUUCUUUUUUUCUUUUUAGUUUACCACAGCUUGCUUUAGAUGUCAGGAAGCACUUAUGUUUUGUUUGUCAGAGGAAACAGCACAUGCCCCUCCCAAUUACCUUCCAGGGUAAUUGGUAGUUGAUCUGUCACAUGGGGGGCUGCUAGGUAAGUACAUUGACUGUAUGGUGAUCCUCUCCUCUGAGAUGACUUCCUUUAGCCGGCUUGAAUGCCCCAAAGGAGCAACAGCCAAAAAUGGUUUCCUCUGAUUGCCCAGUCGCAUAUGUUUCUCUUACUGCUGAGCUCACAAUAAUCAUUAACCCCAAAAGCUUGUUGAGCAGGUUAUGCCUUGGAUGGGUGCUGCUGAAUAAGCUUUGAGCCAAAAAUUGUUCCAGCUUCUCACAUCCCCACAGUUAGUUUGCCCACAGCACAGGACAACUGUUGUUCUCCUAUUCAUGCACCCAAACUUCUCUAGACAGCUAACAGAGUGGCCCAUGUCUUAUGCUAGACUAGAGUUAGAUGGUGGCUGAGGGCACUUUUCAAGGAACCAAGACAGCAGCAUGCCGAAUACCUGCCUGGCCAGACAGUCACAACCACUCAUAACGUCUGUUCAAAUGUGAACAGGAAAUUCUUGCUCUGAAGCUGGCUUUAUGAAUUGGACCCCAUGCUCUGAAGUGUGGAGGAAGGUGAAUGCAUUAGGAAUUUGUGGCCACUUCUGUCUGCAGUUUCUAUAUCAGUAGGUUGGCAUUACUAAUACAGUGGCUUUACUGGUAUAUAGACUUCCAGUCACAUUUACAAAAUGCAUAAGAGGCGCAAUUAAAUCCUUGCAUUCUUGAAACACUUCUGAUCUUUUUCAUGUAGCCUCUCUCUCUCCUGACUUCAAUAAAAAAAAAAAGUGGGAGUAAAAAAAAAAUAGAACAACAAGGUCUGGAGAAUCUCAUAAGUAUACAGAGUAUCAUUAGUAGGUGGUGAUAUAAAAAAAUACAAGAAAUGUUCCUCUCCGUUACUGUAUAUAGAUAUGCCUGGUUGGUCAAAGCCUGCUACUACAAACACCCAGAAUAUAAUUGCAUAUGAUGUUGCUGAACAUCAUUAACCUGAUUGUUCCAGUAAUCUGAUUAGUAACUGCCUUCGAACUCUGUUUUCAUGAAAUUUUUCUUACCAUCUCAAGAAUUAAUUUAUCCAUUGCUGGCUCUUGCAAUCACUUGCUUAUCCCAGCUAAGGCCCAGCUGUGUUGUCUGAGCUCCUUGAGCUCUUCUCUGUAUGUCAGUCAUAUGUUACUCUGCAUUGUGAGCUGUCAUUCAUUUUAAACACAGCCAUGUGGAUGGCUUGGGUCAUGUUCUCCUCUCCUCCCCUACCAGGCUCCUGGGAAAUUUCCACAUUCCAUUUGUAAUUUUCAGGAAUCACUGUCCUGUUUCUCUCUUUCACCUUAUUAGAUAGGAGAACUUACAACAAUGUCCCAUCUUAAGAAAGAUGUGUAAACUCAGCUCACCAAGUAAUGUCACCAGUAUCUCAGGCAAGUAUCAGAACUACUCUAUUAAAAAACAAUAUCAGCCUGUGAAAUCUUCAUCUACCAGUUCAAAUAAAUGGAAACCUUAACUUUUUUCCCAUUACUUUAAGAAUAUCCAGAAGAAUAUAGACUGCCUGCAAAAACAUCUUUUGCAAUGAGGUAUUGAUUUUGAGGAAGUUUUUGCAAUAGAAAGGUUUAUGAGAUCCAGAGCACUCCAGUCACUCCUGAUGGCAGAAAGGAAAAGAAGUCUGAAAUGAAAACCUGGUAUUAUUGAUCUAAAAUUGAUGGUUUUGAUAGAGUGCCAUUUUUGAAACCAAGAAGAUAUGGGAUUUAUUCCAGUGUGAAAUACAAACCAAUUUCAAAACCUUAAGAGCUCAUAAGACUGCCAGACUGCAUGGUGCUAAUGAGUAACGCAUCAGGAGGGAUUUGCAGAGCUACAAAGAUUAGACAGUUCUUACUCUUUUUUUUUUUUUUUUUUUUUUGGUCAUAGAAUUCAUUAUCUGAAUAGGGGAAUCUCUGAAUGGCUAGAAGAUGUCAUCUCCAUUACAGCAUUUGCAGAAAGUGGCUAAUGAUGUAUGCUUCUUCUCAGGACAGUGGCAUCCUGAAGGGCAUGGAAAAACAUUCCACCUACAAAAAGCAUCCUGAUAUUCAAGGCUGGCUCUGAGGCUAAAACCACUGCUCUCCAAGAGAAUGGACUGCAGGGGCAGCAGAGGCUCUCCCAUUUCUGAACCUUGCAAUACUGGGCUGUAUAAUGCUGCUAUCCCUAUAUGAGUGAAGGGGCAUGCAAGAAAGAUUAUUCUUGGAGGAUGGCUAAGACACUAGAUGAGAACACAUCUUUCCAGCAGCAGCUGCAAUUGCUGUACCCAUCAUCUUGCAGGUGUUUGGAAAAAAAAAGUCACUGAGCUGAAAUUCUCAGGGGUCUGCUGCUCCCUCAAGCUCUCCCAACUUUUCCUGUUCUGGGAGCAGGCAAGAACGUUCAAAACACAGGCAACUUUGAUAUAUAUACAUAUUUUUAUAUAGAUAUGUAUAUAUACACACACUACAUAUAAAGAUAUAGAAUGAACCAGUCCUUUGUCAUUAGAGACAAAGAUACAGUGUUUGGUGUUUUGACCUCAACUGACAGAUAAGCCCUGCACCUAGUCAUUGGGACUCAUCAUGUCCCAAGCAGGUUGGGACAGAAUCUCAAAAGCCAAAGGGAGAAAGUGCUAAUGUGCUGAGAUUGAAACAGUUUGGCUGCAGCAACCAAACCCUGGUACAGUUCAUGACCUUGUGUGACAUGGGCCCAGAAAAAAAGUGAAGUUCAGACACUAAAUUUUAGAAGAGCUAAUUUUCAGUUAUUAGAAGAAUUAACAGAGGACGCCUCCUGGAAAACUGUCCUUAGGGAUAAAGGAAUAGAUCAGAGCCCUCAAUUCCCCCAUGUAAGAAAUUAGGAAGGGAAGGCAAGAAACCAGCAUGGCUAAUUAAGAACCUGCUGGUCAAGGCAUGUUGUAAGAAGGAAAUGCAUAGGCAGUGGAAGCAGGGACACGUGGUCUAGAAAGAGUAAAUGGAUGCCACUCAGAUGUGCAUGGAUGAAAUCAGGAGAGCCAAGGCAAAGUUCUCCAUCAUAUUUGAAAGUUCAUGACUGUCAGGUGAAGUGACUGGAAAAAUGGAAAUAUUACUCCCAUUUUUAAGAAAGUUAGAAACAAAGACUCAUGGAACUAGCAACCACUGAGUCUCACUUCUGCGUCCAGGAAAUUCAUGGAGCAGAUCCUCCUGGAAGAGAUGUUAAGGCACAUACAAGAUAGGGAAAUUAGUCAACAAGGCUUCACUCAAAGGCAAAGAUGGAAACAGACAUUUUGGUAGGGCCUGUACUGAUAGGAUGAGGGCAGAUUUAUAUUAAAUAUAAGGAAGAAAUUUUGCAUAACAAGGAUGGUGAGGCACUGAAACUGGACAAGAGGUAGAAACUGCAUUCCUGGAAGAAUUCAAGGUCAGGCUGGAUGGGCUGGGGGCAAACUUUUGUAAUGAAAGGUGUCCCUGACUAUUUCAGUGGGAACGGAAUCAGAUGACUUUUAAGUCCCUUCUACCCUAAAAGCAUUCUAUGAAUUUAAGGUUUCAUCAUAAUACAUUGUAUGAAAUAAAAACAAUUUUCCUUUGGUCUUUUCCAUGCUCUUUCUUUUGCUUUGAUGUACUUCCUUCUGUUUUAAUAUUUCUUGUCCUAUCAAGAGUAUAAAAACGUGCAAGAUUUACUUUUAAUUUUUAAUAUGGUUAUUCUUUUAAUGAUUAUCUGCCUUAGUUCUUUUGCAAAUAAAUAUUUUCUUUUCUCCUUUGUUUGCUUUUGUUUCCUCUCUGUUGUUCUAUUUGUACUUUUAAACAAAAAUUAAACUUUUUCUGUUUAUGCAUUUACCUUGCUCUAUACUUUCAGUCUUUUUUUUUCCCCUGCAUUUAUACUAGCAGCACUAAUUUUCAUUUAGCCUCAGAUCCAAUAAGAGCUUUUAGAAUUCCCCCCCCCCCCCCCCCCGGAGAAAGUUUUCAUUCAAAUAUUUUUCCUUCACUCUGUACCUACAUAUCGCUGAAGCAGCCAGUCAGAUAUUGGAUUUUCCCCAAGAGCAAAUGAAAAUAAGAGAUUUUUCCUCUUAAAAAAAAAAAAAGAGGAAAAGACUAUGUGAGCUUCAGUUCCUUCCAAUAAAUUUAUAUCUAUACUGUUUAUGUCCUCCUAACUAAUUAUAUUGCAUCUCUAGAGUAGUAUUUUGCAUGUCAUUUUCCUAUUCUUUUGACCACAAUUGGCUGUUCAACUUGACUUUGAAAAACUGCUGAAAAUACAUAAUGAAGUUUUCUUUCUACCUUAAAUGCUACAGCAAAUUAACUAGAGAAUGCAAACAGUUCAGAAUAAUGUGUACAUAAAGCAGAUUUUUUUUCUAUUUAAUACUUAAUGUCAGAGCAAAUGAUUGACAAAUUGAGCAGAAACAAUCCACUAUCAUUAUCUGUCUUCAGUGUUGGAUAGCAAACAAUGUAUUGGCAGUGCUCAGCUUCUUUAUGAAGCUGAUUUCUACAUGAAAUUAGAAUAAGUAUUAAUCUCUAUCUGUACAUAUGAAGAUACAGUCUUGUACCCAUGAAUUAAAUAGAUUUGUAACCUAAGAAAUGAAACAGUGGUGUUAAUUCUCUUUAUAAACAAAUAUUUAGCAUGAAGAACUUAGGCAAAUAUUUUUUAAUUUCUAUUUUAUGUUACACAUAGAUUAGAUAAAACUUACUGUAAACUUGCCUGGUUGUGCUAUUGAAGUUUGAGUUCAUAUUUUUGAUGUACCUUUGAUGGCCAUGACAGUUGAUUGUUUACAUCACUGAGGCUAUAGAGACUCCAGCCUGACAAAAUCCAUAGUACUGUCAGACACUGAACAGCACAACUACCUAGUCAAUUCUACCUUGAAAUUCACUAGUAGUGAUGCUGACAUUGCCAUUUAAUGUUUCUCUUUCACAGUAAAUUUUUAAAGAAGGUUGCUAAUUAAGGACUUGUCUUAUGUGAAAGAAAAGUGUUAAAAAAAUUCCCAAAAAUCUGAAGAGCCAUUAGGCCCUUUUAUAUCAAGUCUGUGUGUCACUGUUCUCAAAAUAAGGCUUUCAUUCUUGAAGAAGUGUUUUAAAAUGAACUGUCUUUAGGGAUCACUUUAAAAAUCAAUUAAACCAAGUUAACACUUGGCAACUUCUUUGGAACUAUGAACAGGAACAUCUCAGGGACAAAUACAGGCUUUUUUGCAAGGGAAAGACUUCAGCCUAUCCUUUGAAGCUCUAUCUUCUAGCAAUACUGUAGUUCUUUCCUUUGAGCAACUUAUAUACAGAUUAUUUCCCAAAACAGAAAUAAAACCUCACGUUCCUUGGGAGCAGAGAAGUGUUUUGUUGGUAGGUUGCUAGCAGAAGAACAUUCCCUGUGGCUGUGCUGUACAGAUUUGAAGGAUGCUUUCUUAACAUCUCCUAUAAGCCUGAAAUUGUUUAAGAGUUCUUAAAAUAUAAUUGCAGAGACUGUCUUCUAUUUAAGUGUGCAUGCUGAAAUACAUAGCUUCUGCUGAAGAAAGAGUUGAGGUAGUUCUAAGCUUCAAAUUCUAACAGUUUAGCACAGCAGAUUCACAGAAAUACCAAUCAAUACAAUCUGUAAAAUCUCACCACACUGAGAAAUUUGGAUCAUUCCACAUUCUUCGCCCAACUAACCUUCUGCUUUAUCCAGGCCCUGAAGUCUCAUAGAACUUCACAUAAGACAUCAACAAGACAGUGCUAUAAGACAUAGCACUGUAGAAAUCUCUUGGGAAAAAUUUGGCCUUCUGUCAAGUUUAUUGGAGUCCAUGGAAAAGUUUCCUGUUAAUGCUAUUUUUGCCACUGAACUCAGCAGAAUUUUACCUCUGUUCUUAUAUUCAAUAACUAUUUUGAGGAUGUUUAAUGUACUCUGCAAUUUAAGUUUCAGCUGUCUUUGAGCAUUAUUCACACACAUUUCUAUUGUUAUCUAAAAUUCAAAUAUUUUAUUAUUUCUUAUACAGUCCAGAAAGUUUUGGUCACCAGAAAGAACAGAUGGUGAAAAGAAUGUUUACUUUUAAAAAUCUGAUGGUGUGUUAGCAUAGAAACAGGCUAUAAUAUUUUGAAGCUCAUUGAGGGUAUUAAGUUUCUGUGCUUUGAAGAAAAGCCAAGAUGCUAUUCAUGGCACAUAUAUAUUACAGAGCAAAGAGUAUGUUUAAUAUGAAAAUACUUCAAAUUUAAGGUACAUCUUUAAAAUGUCUGUUAUGGGCAAUGCACUAGAGGAAGAUGACCAAAAGGGAUCACAUCUUUCUGUCACAGCACUGGCAGAAGCUAUGCAAAGGGCAAAGGCUAGUGUUUGUUUUGGAAACAGGCCUGAGAGGUAGGAGUGUUGAAGGAAAUGAUGAACACACUUGUGUCAAGAGUAGUGCUGCCAUUGUCCUAAUUAAGUCUGUGAAUACUGGAAUAAACAAACACCACUGCACUGAGUUGAGACAAUUUCCUUCUCAGCACAUGCUUUUCAGAACUUGUCUAAUCAGAGAAGUUGAGUAUCUCAUAUGUCUCUCUGAACACAAAUGUUUCUAUAUAUUUUUGUUGCAAUGCUGCUGCGACCACCUUAUUCUUGCACUGUGAUGUUAUGCAGUGAGACUUGCAACAUAAAAUGUGAUAAAGAAAAAAAUGUUACAUUCCUAUUGACAAGAAUUUUCAUCUACAAAACAUUAGAACCCUGAAGACUGUAUGAGUGUAUGUGAGGUAGUCUGGAAGCAGUUUUGCAUAUUAUCACAAUUAUCACAACAGCUAUUCACAUUUCAACUAUUAUUACUAGGAGUCACUACUUGCUCCUGGCAACACUCAGCACACAGAGGUUUUCUGCAAACACAGAGCAGAGUGAAAUUCUAAACAAAUUAAAAAGAAAUUGAGGGGGAAAAAUAAGCACAUCUUAAAAAAGUAAACGACAAAGACAACAGAAUUCUGGAACAAUAUUAAUCUACUUGGUAUUAAAGCAACACUGUUUCAGUCACAUGAAUUUUACCUGAACUAUUCCAGUUUUCAUUUGGUGCAAUACAAAUGCACUUGUUCAAAGGAAUACUUUAACGUGUUUUCCCAUACACUUGCAGAAUGUGCUUGCAUAUCUCAUUUUAAAGGUCGCUGUGUCUUUUAUAGAUCUCUGAUCAGUUUUACCAAUUUACUCGCCUGGCAGUGCUCUCUAUGCUGUAAGACCAAUUCCCAUUGUGUUUUUUUUUUUUUUUUUAAAUUCAAUUCCUCCCACUGCUUCUGCAAAGUGGACACAGAGUUUGGGACAACACCAGAGCCUUUUAGCCACACUGAGGUAAUAGCUGUAUAAGCCUCCAGAUCGCAGGAACACAAGUGCUGCACUACUGCUGCAUUUAAAAGUCAAAAUCUCCUCUUCCCUAAUCAAGUGAUUACCCUAAUUUUCUGGGUUUUAUUUUAAUAAUUUAUAUAUAGACAAAUAUUUAUGCAUUUCAAGCAACACUGCACUAUCCUUUAGGUUGAUCACCCCCACCCCCCAAUUUUAUUUCCCUAAAAAUUAUUCUCUACAUAUUUCUGUCAUGGAAAUAACAGUCUGCUAAACAUAGCAUCACCACAGGACACUCUGCAUUAGAGAUCUUACUGAAGGCUCACAAAGUGACAGACAGAAUGACUUCCCUGAAACAGUUACAACACACCUGUUGUAGUAGGCAUCUUGUGGGGGCACAGGAUGUACAGGACAGGCUUCUCCCUAAGCAUAGAGAGACAGUGCUAUCGUGCUGACCUUGAUGCAGAGAAAACAGGAAAAAAAGAAGGAUGAGAAAAGAAUGUGGAAAUGGCCAAAUAAGGCACAAUGUUACCUGGUAUGAACCAAUCAGAGUGGGACAUGACAGCACAGUUUUGUAGGUAAAAUGUAUAUAAGCUGUGUUCAGUAGUGAAUAAACGCCAUUUUACCGCUCAUCAUAUUGGUGUCACCUCGGUAUAUGGCCAAGCCGCAGGCUCCCCAAGGCAACGAGCAUCAUGGUUGACUUCAAUAGUCAACACAUAUCAAAACUUCAGUGUUUUACCAAGAAUUAUCUGACCUAAAAUUCAAUUUACAUUUAUUGUAAUCACUGAUAGACAUGGAGGGAAAAAGACAAUUCUCUACAUUAACAUGUAGAAAUUCCAAUAUCAUGUGCUUCUUUAAAAUAUCUUUAUUAAGGAAUGGAGGAACAUUUUCCAAGAUCCUUCAUAUUUAGAUGGAGAAUUAUGUAAGCUUAUCACCUCUCAGAUACUGAAAAAAAUAUGGUUUUCCCUUAGAUUGCAAUAAGACUUUUGUCUAAUUUAUCAUUUUUCUACCUAUCAUUAAUAUUAUUUGUGAAAUAAGAAUACUACUCAUGGAAUAUUAUUGGAAAGUUCUUCCUGUUCAAUGAAAAAUAUAAUGAGCAAUUUUUUUUUUUUACUCAUUCAAGAAAAAUUUCCUUUCUGAUUAGUUCCCAAACUAUGCCAUAUAUUUGCAUAAUGGUGCAUUACAGGACCACAUCCAAGACUUGCUGAGAAGUAGCCAGAAGAGAGAUGGUCUUGUUUGCUCUAACAUUCAUUUCAGUUGCAGGUUUACAAUUUUAAGGCUAAGCUGGGUAGGUACAUGCAAAUAUUUUGUGAUUCUUCAAUUCCAAAAUAUCCCUCCCCCCCC
ensembl:lncRNA